GUGGGCCAGUGUCUGCAGGAGUAUCUCAAGGAGAACCAGAUAGAAUUCACAUGCCACUGUGGAGCGCAGCAGUCGUCCCUGCAGAGCUCUUUCUCCACCCUGCCGAAUGUGCUGAUCCUGCACCUGAAGCGCUUUAUAGUCACCAGGUCCUACACUGUCAACAAGAUGAAGAAUCCCAUCACUUUGUCAAAAGAACUUGUGCUGAAG